rnacentral:lncRNA from 1 species
CUCCCCUUAUGUAUUUCAAAUCAGUAUUUCUCCACAACCAUACAAGUGAUUGACCUCCGGUCUUCCGUUUUGAGUUCACUGACCUAUGACCUUGAAAUUGAGAUCAAGGUUGAAGGUCAAGGUCAUGUUAUAAAUUUUGAAUUUUGCUUGUUAUCGUUAUUCAAAAGAAACUGAUACAGUUAAUGAUAUGAUUUGUUUGCCAAACUACUGUUUACAAAAAGGCGCAACUUCAAC